CCCAGGCCAUUUGUGUCAGCAGCAACUGGGGCCCAUCCCACCCCUGGAAACAAAGCAAAACCGGCGUCUUUGGGGCCCAGGGACACUCCCUGCGCUGGACUCUUCACCCAAGUGAUUCCAGCUUGGUUUGUUGCAGACCAUUUCUGCCUUGGUGUGCUCUGAACCAACACCUUUCUCAGCCCCAAGAAGACCCAGGACAGGCAUCAGCCAUGCGGAUCCUCUACCUGCUCUUCCCCUUGCUCCUCCUGCUGGUCCACAGUGCUGCAGGGUCCUCCUUGGAGCCAACAAACAAGGAACAAUGUCAGCGAGAAAAUGGGUACUGUGGAUUUUUGAAGUGCAAGUUCCCCUUUGUCAUCAAAGGAAGCUGUUCCAGGUUCUUCUUUUGCUGCAAAAAUCUCUGGGGAUGAGACUCUGAAAUUCCCAAGCAGGACAUGGCCCUCACUUCUGGCUGCUGGACCCACCUGCUGAUAUCCCCACCUCCGGAUGCCCCUAUCUGCUGAUGUCCCCCCCUCCUGAUGUCCCCUGCCCUCCCUGGCUGUGCGGUGCCCAGCUGGGCUGACAGCAGCAGUGGCAGCUGCUCCUGCUGGGUGCUGCUGGGCUGCAGCCCUGUGGUGCCAGCCCCGGUGUCUUUGGGCCAGGGGCUGCUUUUCCCGGCUUGAAUAAAGACGAGCACUUUGGCAUUGCA